CCUACGGGAGGCAGCAGUGGGGAAUAUUGGACAAUGGGGGGAACCCUGAUCCAGCGACGCCGCGUGCGUGAAGAAGGAUUUCGGUAUGUAAAGCUCUAUCAGCAGGGAAGAAAAUGACGGUACCUGACUAAGAAGCACCGGCGAACUACGUGCCAGCAGCCGCGGUAAUACGUAGGGGGCAAGCGUUAUCCGGAUUUACUGGGUUGAAUGGGAGCGUAGACGGUGCAGCAAGUCUGAUGGGAAAGGUCGGGGCGCAACCCCGGGACUGCAUUGGAAACUGUUGGACUGGAGUACAGGAGAGGUAAGUGGAAUGCCUAGUGUAGCGGUGAAAUGCGUAGAUAUUAGGCGGAACACCAGUGGCGAAGGCGGCUUACUGGACUGUAACUGACGUUGAGGCUCGAAAGCGUGGGGAGCAAACAGGAUUAGAUACCCGUGUAGUC
rnacentral:rRNA from 1 species